GACGAACGCUGGCGGCGUGCUUAACACAUGCAAGUCGAACGGAGUGGCCCUUUUAAGGCCAUCGGGUCAACGAGCGGAAGAGUGAGUGGCGGGUGGGUGAGUCACACGUUGGCAACCUGGCUCAUAAAGGGGGAUAACAGAUAGAAAUUUCUGCUAGUACCGUAGAGGCGGACGCUGCGGCAUGGCGGAGGGUGAUAGAAGAAUCGCCAUGAGAUGGGCCCGCGGAGGAGUAGCCAGUGGGAAGGGUAAGAGCCUACCAACGCGACGAUCAGUAGCCGAUCUGAGAGGAGGAACGGUGACAUUGGGACUGAGACACGGCCCCAACUCCUACGAGAGGCAGCAGUGGGGGAUAUUGCAGAAUGAGGCGAACCCUGAUGCAGCGACGCCGCGUGGGUGGAGAAGUAUUUCGGUAUGUAAAGCUGUAUCAGCAGAGAAGAUAAUGACAGUACCUGAAGAAGAAGCCCCGGCUAACUACGUG
rnacentral:rRNA from 1 species